rnacentral:ncRNA from 1 species
UUCACGGAGAGUUUGAUCCUGGCUCAGAACGAACGCUGGCGGCGUGCCUCAUACAUGCAAGUCGUGCGAGAAAACCCACUUCGGUGGGCGAGUAAAGCGGCGAACUGGUGAGUAACACGUGGGUAACCUGCCUCGAAGACAGAGAUAAGCCUCUGAAAAGGGGUCUAAUACCUGAUAAUAUUCCGAGGGGGAAUCCCUUUGGAAUCAAAGAUAGUUUUCUUUUAGAUUGCUGUCACUUUGAGAUGGGCCCGCGGUCCAUUAGCUUGUUGGCGGGGUAAAAGCCCACCAAGGCAGUGAUGGAUAGCCGGCCUGAGAGGGUGUUCGGCCACACUGGGACUGAGAUACGGCCCAGACUCCUACGGGAGGCAGCAGUAGGGAAUAUUGCGCAAUGCCCGAAAGGGUGACGCAG